CCUUUGGCACCUGGACUCCUCAGGAGUCCUACGCCAGGAUCCUGUUUGUGGACUUUAGCUCUGACUUCAACACCAUCCUCCCGGUUCUGCUACAGGACAAGCUGACCCAGCUGCAUGUAGAUCACAGAUUUCCU